rnacentral:lncRNA from 1 species
AGAAAGUUCCUUUCUUAAGAGAUGAUGGAGCAACUUCAGAAGGUUUAGAAUAGAAAAUGCCAUAUAUUCCAUUUCUGCUUACGCCAUAGAUCAUUGAAGCCAUUAAGCUUCUGUCUACGCUUUUAGCCAGGAAUCUUUGAAAAGACUUUUCAUACUUAGAUUCAUUUCUACAAUCAGAGGCAUCACAGGCAACAAUUUCUUCUAACUUAGCAAUCUGGUUCUUAAGCACAGAGUUAGAAUUGAUCAAGGCAUGAUUAUCAUUUUUCAAAUCAGAAAUAAUUUUCUCAUGUUCAGAAGGAGUCUUGGAAACAGCAGAUAAGUUCUUUUUCAGCUUCUUAUGCUUAGACAAUAAGGAGUUAUACUUAUCCAUAAUAUCAGACAAUGCAUGUUUCAGUUCAGAGGUAGAGAAAGAUGCGAAUACCUCAUUUUCAUCGUCUGAGUUAGGAUUUCCUUCUGUUUCUGAGUCAGAGUCAACAACUCCCUUUGACUCUGCUUCCUUGUCUUUGACAAUAGCCAUGAGUCCUUGAACUUCACCAUCAGAGUCAACAUCCUCUGACUCUGAUUCAUCAAAAGUCACCAUCAGACUUUUCUUUGGUUUGAAAUGCUUCUUUGACUUUUUGUCCUUUGAUGAGCCUUUGUAUUUGCUCUGCCUGUGCUUCCAGAUGCAGUUGAGCUUUCUGGAUAUCAGAGUCAGCUCAUUUUCAUCAGAAUAUUCUGAUGCUUCUUCAGAUUCUUCUGCUUCUGCUUGGAGAGCCUUAGCCUUUUCAGAUUUGGAUUUCCAGGCUAUAGACUUCUUCUUCUGAUCCUGAUGUUCAGCACGCUUUAGUUCAUGACACUUUAGUAUGCUUAUGAGUUCUUCCAAACUCAUCUGCUCAACAUUUCUAGUUAGCUCCAAGGAAGUUAUCAAAGGCAUCCAGCUUUCAGGAAGACCUCUAAGGAUCCUCAUGACAUGAUCAGCAGCGGUGUAGCUUUUGUUGAGGGGUCUUAUUCCAGCAAUAAUCAACUGGAAUCUGGAAAACAUAUCCUCAAUGGAUUCAUUAGGUUCCAUUUGGAAGGAUUCAUACUGCUUGAUCAAAGACAACGCCUUUGUCUCUUUCACCUUUUUGUUUCCUUCAUGUGUCGUCUUUAAGGAAUCAAUGAUACACUUAGCGGAAUCACGAUCAGUAAUUUUCUCAUAUUCUUCAUAUGAAAUGGCACUUUGCAGAAUAGCUCUUGAUCUGUGAUGAUCUCUGAACUCCUUCUUUUGAUCUUCACUCAUCUUCUCCCUUGGGAUUUUUACACCAUGUUCAUCAACAGGAGGGGUGUAGCCAUCAACAACAAAAUCCCAGAGAUCAGGAUCAAAGCCAAGAAAGAAGCUUUUGAUUCUGUCUUUCCAGAAAUCAAAUCUCUGACCAUCAAAGAUAGGUGGUCUUGCACAGUAUUGAUAUUUGCUUGUAGUAGUGGUGGAAUCCAUGAGUUUUUCACACUGGCCCGGAUCUACUGAACACUGUUAAGUGUGGUAAUCAGAACUUGCGCUCUGAUACCAAUUGAAGGUGUGAAAAACGACUAGAAGGGGGGGUUGAAUAGCGUUUUCAAUAUAAAAACUUUCCCCUUAAGAUUUAAAGUAAAUCUUUUCGGUUUCUCUAAGAUAGAUGGUGCAGCGGAUAAAGAUAAAGAGAAGAGAGAAGCACACAAGUAUUUUAUCCUGGUUCACUUGAUAAAUCCCUCAAGCUAAUCCAGUCCACCCGUUAAGGUGAUUUCUUCCUUCUUAGAAUGAAGGCAAUCCACUAAUCAGAUAAUUGUUACAACUGCACUUGAAACAUACAAGUGACUAACAAUACACUGACUUAGCUCACACUAAGAUUCACUCUCUUAGUCUUCUCUAGGAUCCGAUCAACCUUGAUCUCCUAAAGGAAUCACCACUAAGAUUCACUCUCUUAGUCUUCUUAAGGAUACUGACCUACCCGGUCCCUUAAGGAAAAUCAAACAACUGUUUGAGGUUGGUGUUUACAAAGGUUUGCUUCUCAAUAAGCUGAGUGUAAACUAAAUAAGAACAGAUGAAGAAAGUAGAGGCUUGAAUCUUUUCUUGUAUUGCAGCUCUUGGUUUCUCACUCUUAGCUUUCUUCUUUUCUUCAGCCUUUUAUAGUCCAAGGUGCAAAGGAUAUUACUGUUGAGAGAAUAUGACCGUUGGAGGGCAUUUCUGGAACUUCCAGAACCUGCUGUGGCUGAACCUUGGUAGGUAGGCUUGUCAGAAUAGUACACUGCUCUUGUACUUCUUGAUAGAGACAUUUGCCUUUAACCAAUGACAUCUGAUCAGAGUUAUGCUUCGUGUUGGAACUUGUGAAGCUUGGUGAUCAGAGUCAGAGGGAUGCUUGGAUCCUCUAACCUUCGUAACUUCUGCUUCUGGACCUUCAGAGCUUCUGGACCUUCAGAGCUUCUGGACCUUCAGAGCCUCUGGUCCCUCAGAGCUUCUGGUCUUCAGAUCUUCUGAUCCUCAGAUCUUCUGAUCCUCUGAUCCUCAGAUCCUCUGAUCCUCAGAUCCUCUGAUCCUCAGAUCCUCUGAUCUUCAGAACUUCUGAUCAAUAUAUCUUCUGGUGUCAGAAUCAGAACCUGUUUGUCAAAACACUCAAGACAAACAUUAGAGUAUCAUAGUUGUUCAUCCACAAAUAAAUACUUGUUAUCAUCAAAACAUAGAGUUGUACCACAUGACCAAAUCUUGAUCUUACAAUCUCCCCCUUUUUGAUGAUGACAAAACCAUGUAUUUUGAUGAACAACUCUAAACAAAUAAACUGAAUACACUCAGAGUAUAAGGUAUCAGAGUUAAAACUUAUCCUGAUGUGUAUAGUUUAUCUUGCUCCUUCUGAAUCCAAGCCUAGUGCUUGAUUCUGAGCUAAGCUCCCCCUGAAUCUAAUACUUAAUAUCAACGUUAGUAAUAUCUAGAUUCUGAGCUAAAUAAUAUAGGAGUUGUCAAGAUACUAUAAGUUCUCCCCCUUUUUGUCAUAAGCAAAAAGAAUGAAGGGGAAAAAAAAUAGUAAGAGCAUAAGACGAAAUACUCCCCCUCAGAAGGAAUACCAAGGGAUACUUGGCUGCUGAUUAGUGUAUCUUCUGAUGAGAGCAGAAGUGUCAAAGUCUAGAGGUUCUGGUGACAUCUCCAUUCUGGACAAAAUUUCAUCUUCAGAUACUUCAGAAUGAGAAGCUAGGAACCUACUCUUCUUCUGAUGACGCAAGUCAGAAGUUGUAGUAGCAUCUUCUGAUGUUGUUGCUUCUGGUUCGUCAAGUUCUGAGUCUUUGUUUCUUUCUGAAACGGUCAUGCUUAUCUCUGCAAGCUUUUUCAGCUAGCUUUGACUUGUCAGAGUCAAGCUUAUCAUUAAUUCUAACAUGAAUAGUGUUCAGAAUAUCAACAGAGGGGUUCUUAUCAAAAACCAAUGAUUCCUUGACCAAAUCUUACUCUACUGAUGCCUCCAAGAUCAACUUCACCAUCAGGUUCAAGUUUAGGAUCUUGGGAUAUAUGCCUUUCUCCCGUCAUGUGUUGCCUGCAUCCACUGUCCAGGUUCCAUGGUUGGAGUUUCGAUGGACCUAUUGAAGAUAUCUGCAACAUAUAUAAUCUUAUCCCUAGGUACCCACUUUCUGAGUCCUUUCUUGUUAGUUAGCCCAGAAGUUCUGACAACUUUGGGUCAUUCAACAGGAUAAUAUAAAGGAAUUUGAGCAUGAUAUUUUGACAUUGAGAAAGUUCCUUUCUUAAGAGAUGAUGGAGCAACUUCAGAAGGUUUAGAAUAGAAAAUGCCAUAUAUUCCAUUUCUGCUUACGCCAUAGAUCAUUGAAGCCAUUAAGCUUCUGUCUACGCUUUUAGCCAGGAAUCUUUGAAAAGACUUUUCAUACUUAGAUUCAUUUCUACAAUCAGAGGCAUCACAGGCAACAAUUUCUUCUAACUUAGCAAUCUGGUUCUUAAGCACAGAGUUAGAAUUGAUCAAGGCAUGAUUAUCAUUUUUCAAAUCAGAAAUAAUUUUCUCAUGUUCAGAAGGAGUCUUGGAAACAGC